GCCAACCAGGCUUCCGGCGCGCUUCCUCGCCUCACCGGACCUGAAGCCCCACCCGUCGAUCUCUCCGAACUUCCUCCUCUCGCUGCACCUUCCGCGCCAGUCUUCGGGCCGGAGCUCUCAUUCAUUGCGGACACGUCAUUCGGAGCAGAUCUAAGCCAGAGACCAGAUCUCAUUAGAUAAAGCCCAUCAGAACUAAGAAAAUGGAGGAGCCACUAAUUAAAGCUUUUAAUUGUGCGGA